CCUACGGGAGGCAGCAGUAGGGAAUUUUGCGCAAUGGGCGAAAGCCUGACGCAGCAACGCCGCGUGCGGGAGGAAGGCCCUCGGGUUGUAAACCGCUUUCAGCAGGAACGAAAAUGACGGUACCUGCAGAAGAAGCCCCGGCCAACUACGUGCCAGCAGCCGCGGUGAUACGUAGGGGGCGAGCGUUGUCCGGAUUUAUUGGGCGUAAAGAGCUCGUAGGCGGUUCGGUAAGUCAGGUGUUAAAACUCCAGGCUCAACUUGGAGAGGCCACCUGAUACUGCUGUGACUAGAGUUCGGUAGAGGAGCACGGAAUUCCUGGUGUAGCGGUGAAAUGCGCAGAUAUCAGGAGGAACACCAGCGGCGAAGGCGGUGCUCUGGGCCGACACUGACGCUGAGGAGCGAAAGCGUGGGUAGCGAACAGGAUUAGAUACCCUGGUAGUCCACGCCGUAAACGUUGGGCACUAGGUGUGGGGAUCUGUCAACGGUCCCUGUGCCGUCGCUAACGCAUUAAGUGCCCCGCCUGGGGAGGUACGGUCGCGAAGAACUAAACUAACAAAGGAAGUAGAGGCGUGAGACGUGCCGAACGGACGACGACGAGGGAGUAGG
rnacentral:rRNA from 1 species